UAACCAGAGUCCUGAUGGGUGCUGGUGUCCAGACCCAAGUUCUGGGGCUCCAGAGAGAGCAGGAGUGGUGCCUGAGGACUGAGGCCCAGGGGGCGGCCCUUCCCUACCCUGCACAGGCCCGGCUGGGCUGGAAAGCUGUCCCACAGCCGCAGUGAGGACAGCCGCAGGCCAGAGCCCGGCCUGUUUGAUGUGGUCAUCAUUAACGACAGCCUGGACCAGGCCUACGCAGAGCUGAAGGAGGCGCUCUCUGAGGAAAUCAAGAAAGCUCAAAGGACCGGCGCCUGAGGCUUGCUGUCUGUUCUCGGCACCCCGGGCCCAUACAGGACCAGGGCAGCAGCAUUGAGCCACCCCCUUGGCAGGCGAUACGGCAGCUCUGUGCCCUUGGCCAGCAUGUGGAGUGGAGGAGAUGCUGCCCCUGUGGUUGGAACAUCCUGGGGUGACCCCCGACCCAGCCUCGCUGGGCUGUCCCCUGUCCCUAUCUCUCACUCUGGACCCAGGGCUGACAUCCUAAUAAAAUAACUGUUGGAUUAGAAACUCCAUAAA
rnacentral:lncRNA from 1 species